AGCCUGUGAUGGUUUCAUUAUAAGAGUAGUGGACAGAAGUGAUUUCUGAAAACUCCAUGCUGAGGCU